rnacentral:rRNA from 1 species
CGCAACUCCUACGGGAGGCAGCAGUGAGGAAUAUUGGUCAAUGGGCGAGAGCCUGAACCAGCCAAGUAGCGUGCAGGAUGACGGCCCUAUGGGUUGUAAACUGCUUUUAUAAGGGAAUAAAGUGGGGCUCGUGAGCUCCUUUGCAUGUACCUUAUGAAUAAGGACCGGCUAAUUCCGUGC